AAGGGCACCACAAGAACGCGUGGAGCAUGUGGCUUAAUUUGACUCAACGCGGGAAAUCUUACCGGGUCCGGACACACUGAGGAUUGACAGAUAUACGCUACGUUGCACCUUCGGGUGCACGUGGCUCAAAGAUGCUAGUUCUUUCAUGAUUAUGUGAUAGGUGGUGCAUGGCCGUUCUUAGUUCGUGGAGUGAUCUGUCUGCUUAAUUGCGUAUCAAUAAUAGAGACCUAGUAUACGCGUAUUACUCGUGUGGUAGUGACCCCCUUCUCACGGAGGCGCGUGUCGCACAUACGGUAUACGCACUGGUCUCAGAUAGCAACGAACGUGACCGUAUUCUAUUGUUGCAGUGAAUUAUACGCGUGCUUUAUGCAUGCAUUCCCACUGCUUAGUGUGCGCUGCCAGUACUUGUUGCUGCUGCGUCACACAUUAAACUAUAGAGACCGCUGUUUCUUCUUUAAACCAGAGGAAGGAUACGGCAAUAACAGGUCUGUGAUGCCCUCAGAUGUUCCGGCUGCACACGUGCUACAAUGAUCAUUGCACUGUGCAUCUAACCCAAUGUGCGCGGACGCACGAUACGUAAAAUGGCUUCGGGCAUUUUUAUGAUUCGCUUGUGCGACUGCGCCGAACCUACUUCGAAAGUAAAAUUUUUAAGUGGGUAAUCCAUUAGAAGUAAUGACUCGCAUAGACCAUGGCACACUAUAUGUACGCGCAGGUCUACCCGACUCGCCUUUGUGUGAGUGCAGUGCGUAGCUUGUUGUUUCGUACGUGCCACUCCGUAUUAAUUCGUACGUGGGGAUAGAUCAUUGUUUAAUUGUUGGUCUCGGUCUUAACUAGGAAUGCCUUGUACGGGUCUUUGGUUCAACAUACCACCCGGAAUACGUCCCUGCCCUUUGUACACACCGCCCGUCGCUCUUACCGAUGGAUUAUACUAUGAAUCUAUAGGACUGCCAAAGCUUUGCGGCGUGUUCGCACACCGCGCUUAGUGGAAAUAUAUAUGAAUAGUGUGAUCUAAAGGAAAGAGAAGUCGUAACAAGGCAUCA
rnacentral:rRNA from 1 species